AUUGAACGCUGGCGGCAGGCCUAACACAUGCAAGUCGAACGGUAACAGGAAGCAGCUUGCUGCUUUGCUGACGAGUGGCGGACGGGUGAGUAAUGUCUGGGAAACUGCCCGAUGGAGGGGGAUAACUACUGGAAACGGUAGCUAAUACCGCAUAACGUCGCAAGACCAAUGAGGGGGACCUUAGGGCCUCUUGCCAUCGGAUGUGCCCAGAUGGGUUUAGCUAGUAGGUGGGGUAACUGCCCACCUAGGCGACGACCCCUAGCUGGUCUGAGAGGAUGACCAGCCACACUUGAACUCAGACACGGUCCUGACUCCUAAGGGAGGCAGGAGUGGGGAAUAUUGCACAAUGGGCGCUAGCCUGAUGCAGCCAUGCCGCGCGUAUGAAGAAGGUCUUCGGAUUUUUAAGUACUAUCAGCGGGGAGGAAGGGAGUAAAGUUAAUACCUGUGCUCAUUGACGUUACCCGCUGAUGAAGCCCCGGCUAACCCCGUG
rnacentral:rRNA from 1 species